rnacentral:rRNA from 1 species
CACGCAGGCGGUCUGCUAAGUCCUUUGUGAAAGCCCGGGGCUCAACCCCGGAAUUGCAUCGGAUACUGGCAGACUGGAGACAGGUAGAGGCUAGCGGAAUUCCUGGUGUAGCGGUGGAAUGCGUAGAUAUCAGGAAGAACACCUGUGGCGAAGGCGGCUAGCUGGGCCUGUUCUGACGCUCAUGUGCGAAAGCGUGGGGAGCAAACA